AGAGAGAGUUUCUGUCAUCAAAUACGAGGCGGAGGAGGGGGAAAAUGUAGGAAUCUCACACUUUCUUACACACUUAUACAUACAUAUCUCUCCAUCAUCCACCGCGUGUAUCGAGUUUCCUGUGUUCGCAAACUGAUCUUUAGUUGACGGCGCUCUUUAACUGUGCACCGCACCGCAAUUCUCUAUCUGGUCCAGGACACGCCGCCUGUGACAACCCCUUGAGCUUUUCAGACGACGCUUAGUGGUGGUGGUGUGUGCAUUCUGACGGAUUCGCGAGGGUUGAGCGAUUGAGAGAGUGAGCGUUUUAGAGUGAGUGAGAGAGUGAGAGAUUUUGUGUUGAGAGGGAAGGUGAUGGGAUUGUGACCGAGGUUGGGGAGAAGUGGGACUGACGGUGAAGAUGGAAAGGAAUAGCUGUCCAGGAUGCGAAUUUGUUUUGCAGACAGCAUGACAAGCUUUACUUGCUUAGACUUUUUUCAUGUUCUAACUGAAUUAGAAAGAACCCACGAGGCCAGCGCCAUAUUACGAAAAGUGAAAGUUAGGUAGGUUACGUUCAAGCAGGUGAAUAUGACAACUAAAUCAAACAUGCCGACUACUAACGUCGAACGUACGCGGGUCGGAAAGUAUGACCUCGGCAAGACCUUGGGAGAGGGUACAUUUGCCAAAGUCAAGGUGGCCAAACAUAUUGACACUGGUCACACUGUUGCCAUCAAGAUUUUGGACAAGGAGAAGAUUCUCAGGCACAAGAUGGUGGAACAGAUCAAAAGAGAAAUAUCUACCAUGAAGCUGGUGAAACAUCCCUAUGUCGUCCAGCUGUUGGAGGUAAUGGCCAGCAGGACGAAGAUCUACAUUGUGCUUGAGUAUGUCACAGGUGGCGAGCUUUUUAAUAAGAUUGCUCAACAAGGAAGACUGUCAGAGGAUGAAGCAAGGAAGUAUUUUCAGCAGCUGAUUGAUGCAGUUGAUUAUUGCCACAGUCGGCAAGUGUAUCACAGAGAUCUGAAACCAGAGAAUCUUCUUCUGGAUUCCAAAGGCAACUUAAAAAUUUCCGACUUUGGCUUGAGUGCGCUACCUCAGCAAUUUAGGGAAGAUGGUUUAUUACAUACAACUUGCGGAACUCCCAACUACGUGGCCCCUGAGGUUAUCAUGGACAAGGGCUACUCUGGGGCUACUGCCGAUUUGUGGUCAUGCGGUGUUAUUUUAUAUGUACUGAUGGCUGGAUACUUGCCAUUUGAGGAGCCCACAAUCAUGGCACUUUACAAGAAGAUUUACCGAGCACAGUUCUCUUGGCCUCCUUGGUUCUCGUCAGGAGCCCGGAAAUUAAUCUCAAAGAUACUGGAUCCCAAUCCAAGAACUCGCAUUUCUGCAUCUCAAAUUUAUAAAAAUGAUUGGUUUAAGAAAGGAUAUACUCCAGCCCAGUUUGACAGAGAAGUUGAUGUCAACCUUGACGAUGUGAAUGCUAUCUUUAGUUGCUCACAGGAACAUAUGGUUGUCGAAAGGAAGGAAACAAAGCCGGUGUCAAUGAAUGCUUUCGAGCUUAUCUCCAUGUCAUCAGGGCUCAACCUCUCCAGCCUCUUCGAGACGAAAGAGGGCUCUCUGUUGAUCUUAUUUAAGGCCGCAAACAACAGCUACGAGUAUCUGAUGUCUUUCUCCCACAGAUUCCUGAAAAGGAGGACACUAGGUUUACGAGUAAGAAGUCUGCGAAGGAGAUCAUCUCUUCAAUUGAGGAAGCUGCAAAGCCCUUAGGGUUCAACGUUUUGAAACGUGAUUUCAAGCUGAAACUACAAGGUCAGCUGGGGAGGAAGGGACCUCUGUCAGUUUCAACUGAGGUGUUUGAGGUGGCACCUUCUCUUUACAUGGUUGAGUUACAGAAGAACAGCGGCGAUACGUUGGAGUACAAUAACUUUUAUAAGAAUCUUUCCAAGGGUCUCAAAGACAUCGUGUGGAAAGCAGACCCUAUUCCUACAAGUGAGCAAAAGUAGAAAGCUUCCGCUACGGCUUUAAUAUAUGCCCGUGCUGUGAAGUGCCCGCGUCCCCUGCCAAAUUGCAGCUGCGUGGAUCUCCGCCAGUGUCGGAUCUUGAUCUUGCAGCUCUUUUGGACUUCGGACAUACUCCUGGAUUUCUCAAUUGGUAAAUGCCAGUUGAAGCGUCGACUUUGUAUUGUACAUAUGAACUGUGAGAACAGCGGAUAAGUAGCUUUCGUGACUGAAGUUCUAGGAUUAAUUCAGGAACAUAAAAUGAAGGCCACAGACAGCAAUUCCUGAAAAGGAGAGUGGUAUACAAUUCUUAGUUUUCAGGAGCUAGCAGUUAUGGUAGGUAAAAUCCUCAGAUGCUUAGACAUUUUUUCUCUGAGUUUUUUGAACAAGUCUAGAUUUCCGUUGAAACGCAGCAACAACCUAAUGUCGAUUUUUUUGACCCUGUAACCUAUCAUUUGUGGAAAAGAAAUGCAUUUUUGGUCAGAGACCAUGUUACUGAUCC